UCUUUUCCUGAGCAAUCAUAAAACGGCCGUGAAAAGGCACGAGGUGAGGCACGCAGUUCUCCUGCCUCAUGGUAGGGGGCACUCGUGAGCCCAGGGAUUCUUCUUGCGACUCCUCGACUGCAGAAUAAGUGACAGCAAGCUACAAUCUGGAGUUAGCAAGUCAAGUGCAGCCAUCCGUUUAUUUUUUCUUCUCGCCUGGCCUUACUUUCAAAAUAGAGGAUUACAUGUACAGAAGGAGCGGUGCAUGGACUUGGACAUGGAAAAGCACCAUAGGUUAACGGGUGGAGUGGAGGAGUGUUACCCGAUCUCGCUCACUGGUUCUUCAGUAUUGCUGUGGACACUCUUGCACUGAGAAAAGCAAAAAAAACAACACUGGUUCAAGACCUUACAUGGCAGUUCUCCUCUCCGGGGUGUUCCAAGAAGACAGGAGGAGCAGCGGGAAGAGAGGAGCGCAGGGAUGAAGGGAGGGGGGAGACGAUGGCAGGUACUAGGGGAUUGUUCCAAUGCCCUUGACAUGACGGAAACGCCGGAAGAAGAGAGAACAAGAGCCAAUCUGUGGUGAUGGUGGUGGGGGGGGGGUUAGAAAAAAGAAAGCCUGAAGACGAGUGUGUGUAUGUGUGUGUGUGUGUUUACAUGAAAGAGAUUUUUUUUCUUUAGAUUUAUGCAUGAAUGUUUUGCAUUUGUAUGUUUGUAGCCUAGACAGACAAAAAGACCUGUAUUUUAAAGGUUCUGGCAGUGAGUCUUGUAUGCAUUUUUGCCUGAGAGCAAUUCAGUGCAUAUAUAUGUGUGUGUGUGUGUAUGUGUGUGUCCAAACCCAGUAUGAGUCCCAGUCCAGGGCUUUUCUUCUGGCUAGCAGAUGUUUUGCUCUCACCUUGCCAUACCUCAUAAAGCUUGAUGGCUCAGGACCCUGGGGCCAGUCUGGCACACACAUGCAUGCAAACACAUGCACAUGCACGCCCGUACACACACACACGCACACACACACGCGCACACACACACACACACACACACACACGUGUGCCCCACUGCCACAACAAAAACACAUGGAAAUGCCUACACACACAGACAAAUGCAGACAUGUAGAUCUCACAGUCUUCUGGCCUGUCUUUGCACAUUGAAGAACAGAUGGAGAAAGUGUUGAGGGUGUCUCAGUGUGAAAGUUUGAAUGCCACAGGAAAGGCAUG